rnacentral:lncRNA from 1 species
AAUCAUUCUCUAAAUAGUUAAAUAUAUUUGACACUGAAAAUACUGCACAUUUUAAUUAGAGGAAAAUUAAAAUGUGUGCUCAAAUGCACUAACAAACUAGGUAAUGGUUUUAAUUGAAUUAAUGAGAUGAAAAGAUAGUAAAGCCCUGUUUGCUACUUACAUGAAAGAAGACUUUAAAAAAUAAUCACUGCACAAAAUGU